AAAAAGGCAAAUCCUGAGUUUCCGUGUCCAACUUUGAUUGUCCGUCUUUUAUGAAAUUUUUUUAUAAUUCGUAUUUUCAUUGUUGUUAGAUGAUAAAAUAUGAUUAAUAUUUUAUGCGUGACUUGUUUUAUUAUUUUUUUUUCAUAAUUUUUUCAAAUAAGACGGACGGUCAAACGUUGGACACGGAAACCAGGGUUUGUCUUUUU
rfam:Oryza glumipatula chromosome 5, whole genome shotgun sequence.